CAGCUCUCUUUUGUUUUUUAAACUGAGAGGUUCCACCAAAGGCUGGGACAGAAAGAAAGCUGAGGGGAUCCUUGUGGGACGAGUAUUUUGGGAGAAGACUGAUGUAAGCCCUCACUGGGUCUAGAAGAGAAUGAAGACGGGGACAUCUCUUGAGUGUUUUGUAUGUGCAAAGCGAUGCCCCAGCCGUGCGUCACAGAGCUGCAGCCACAACGUACCUGAUCUUCUGAAGACUGGAGGUGAUCAUGUCAUCCUCUUUCUCUGGAAACCUCACCUUCCUCUCCUCCAGGCUGACGGUUGUCUGUGUUGACCUGGCCCAUGGACCCUCUGAGAGGAUGCCUCUGCUUCUCCCAGUUGUCUCCAGAUAAUGGCAACCAUCCCUGGUGGCAAAAUUGCCUCAAGACAAGGAACAGAGUGCCAUUGGGUAAGUCCCUAAAGCCUGGGAGAGAAUGUAGGCAUGCACUGAGCGAAAGAAGAAAAGCAAGAGCAGAACCUUGUCCAAUAUUGACCUUGUGUGUUGUAGGCCACGGUACGCACUUCAGAGUCUCGGUUUUCCCAUCUGCAAAGUGGAUAUAGUAGCUCAAAAUUGUAAAAGAGUAGAGGAAUGCAUAGAAAAUGCUCCAGAAGUUUCAUCAAUUUAACUGAACAAAGGCUGUCUUCUGGCCACAGCUACUGCACUCACUCAUCAAAGCAUGCAUAAAGGAAACCCUGCCUUAACAGCCGGGCUGGAGAUCCAGGGUCAGGAGGGAUGGAUUUGACAACACAGGGUUUUGCAUUCUGGGAGGCAAAAAUGUCCCACCUUCAGAAACAAAAACCAGUGAGGCCUUUGGGCUGACCAGCUCGUGGGCACGCUGGGCACACUGCUUCUGAGCUGCUCCUGGAGAGAAGGAAGAAGGAAAGUCAUGCUUGCAGAUGGUUUGCUGUCCUUUAACAUGAUGCCAUGUCUAAACUAGGAAGAGGGAGGGCAUUUCAAGACCUGUUGAAGAAUGGAAUCAGGCCAGUUGUGAACUGUGCCCUCUCCCUCGCCCAAUGUUCAUGCAAUCGCCAUUUAGUGUUGACUCACUGGGCUUGCUUGUGAGAUUCUUUUAUGUUUGAAUAGUGAUUCCAGAAGGAACAUUGGCUUUGAAGCCUCUGUCCUCUUCACAGAGUCCUGCUUCGACCUAAUGUUGCUGCUCCAAAACAUGCCUCUCGGGGACUCCACAGUUACAACUGUGUUACAGCCUGAGAACUCAUAGAUGACAGUAAAGAGACAAUGACCUCUCCUAGUCCACUAUGUCCUCUCCCCCGAGCUAGUGUGCCCUCGGUCCAUCAGAGCCGGGAGCAGGUCCACCUCAGCCUCCUGUGGGCAGGGGAGUGCAGUCCCACCAUGUGACAGGAAUGCCCGGGAGGGUAUAGUGACCAUCUCAGGAAAGAACUGAAGCUGGCCUCCUGGAAUCCCAGGUUUCCACGAGUUGCACCAUCACCCUCAGUGACUCACCAUCUUUAAAAGACUUGGUGGGGUCGAGAUAAACUCCGAGAGGGGACGACAGAGACCAAUGUUAGCAUUGGCAGGAUGGGCAGAGCACUUCCAACUCUAACUAAAAGGGUUGUUAUGGAGGCACAGAGUGGUUCCCACACCUUUCUGCAUAUAGUGUCUGGGCUGGCAGCCGAUAUUCCUUUAAAGUGCCCCGGGAACUGUGGCCGUUCUGACCAAAGGCAACUAAGUAAAUGAACUGCCCUUUGGGGCUACAACAUUGAACCCCUUAAAUGAAGGCAGCUUACACACAUGCAGAUACAUGUCCCUUGUGGUCCCUGUAGGCAUAACUGCCCAUCACCAGAGCGCUUUCAAACAGGGAGGGAGAUCUGGUUUGCUGGAGCUUUGACCUCUAACACCAACAGAGGCAGAGGGUGGCUCAGCAAGCAGGAGUCUGUUUGCAUGUCUGUGUUCCUUUUUUCUGCACACAAACUUAACCAUGAAAUCAUCAAUGCUGACGUGUAGAGUACGUGUCAGGGCCUGCUCCUCAGGCAUGCCAAUUGUCACUUUCUGUCCUGGCUAUCAAAGGUGUUAUCUUUUGUGAGUAGAAAAAAAGAAAUUAGUUAAGGUCUGGAUUUAAAUGGACACUGGACAAAAAGAAAGUCAAAAAUAAAAUUAGCCAGGAAUAAAAUCAGCCAUCUAUCGAAACAUGCACAUGCACAUACACAUUCGCAUGUGCGUGCACUCGCACACAUUCUCAACUGCACUAGUCAGCGAGCGCUGUUGCCCGGCUCCUCUCUGGAAUAAGUGCUCUGUUCAUGAGUUCUCACACUUUAAAUGCCGCCAGGCUUAGAGAUCUGCUGUCCCCCUUGAAGCAAGGUCCUAGGACCAUGCAUCCACUGGCUCCUCUGUGGCAGGAGGCCUGUGAGGCUCUGCGGGCCUAUUGUUCCUUAGUUUCCACACCUAUGUGUGUGUCGUGACAUGAGAUGGGAGAUGAAUGUGUGGUCGAAUUAAAGAAUACAACCCUAAUGAUCUAAGCUAUUAUUUAUCAUCCUAUUUAUACUCUAAUUGUGACAACAAAGUUCUUAGUGAAACUUCUUUUCUCCAGCAUGGGAUGUGACCGUGAGCUCCAGACAUGACUCUGGAGUGUUAAGUAAGGCUUUGUCGUCAAAGGCUCGUAAUCAAGGUGUAAAAUUUGAGGGUUACACCAAGGAUGUGGGCCCCUGAAAUAGGCCUGCAGAGAGACCAGAUGGCCGGGUGAGGAC